rnacentral:rRNA from 1 species
GAUGAACGCUGGCGGCGUGCCUAAUACAUGCAAGUCGAGCGAACAGACGAUGAUCUUUCUCCUCUUACGUUAUCGGCUGACGUGUGUUUAACACGUGUAUAACCUACCUAUAUUACUUGUAUAACUUCGGGAAACCGGAUCUAAUACCGGAUAAUAUAUUGAACCGCAUGGUUCAAUAGUUAUUUACGGUUUUUCUGUCUCUUAUAGAUGGUUCCGCGCCGCAUUAGCUAGUUGGUAAGGUAACGGCUUACCAAGGCAACGAUGCGUAACCGACCUGAGAGGGAGAUCGGCGAGACGGGAACGGAGACACGGAACAGACUACUACGGGAGGGAGCAGUAGGGAAUAUUCGGAAAUGGGCGAAAGCAUGACGGAGAAAAGGCGCGUGAGAGAAGAAGGUCUUAGGAUCGUAAAACUCUGUUAUGAGGGAAGAAAAAAAGUGUAAGAAAAAAAGAACGAAGUGACGGUAACGAAAAAGAAAGAAACGGCUAACGACGUG